GCAUAUCAAUAAGCGGAGGAAAAGAAACCAACAGGGAUUGCCCUAGUAACGGCGAGUGAAGCGGCAACAGCUCAAAUUUGAAAUCUGGCCUUCGGGUCCGAGUUGUAAUUUGUAGAGGAUGCUUUUGGUGAGGUGCCUUCCGAGUUCCCUGGAACGGGACGCCAUAGAGGGUGAGAGCCCCGUCUGGUUGGACACCGAUCCUCUGUAAAGCUCCUUCGACGAGUCGAGUAGUUUGGGAAUGCUGCUCUAAAUGGGAGGUAUAUGUCUUCUAAAGCUAAAUAUUGGCCAGAGACCGAUAGCGCACAAGUAGAGUGAUCGAAAGAUGAAAAGCACUUUGAAAAGAGAGUUAAAAAGUACGUGAAAUUGUUGAAAGGGAAGCGCUCAUGACCAGACUUGGGCUUGGUUGAUCAUCCAGGGUUCUCCCUGGUGCACUCUUCCAGUUCAGGCCAGCAUCAGUUCGCUGUGGGGGAUAAAGGCUUUGGGAAUGUGGCUCCUUCGGGAGUGUUAUAGCCCAUUGUGUAAUACCCUGUGGUGGACUGAGGUUCGCGCAUUCGCAAGGAUGCUGGCGUAAUGGUCAUCAGCGACCCGUCUUGAAACACGGACCAAGGAGUCGUCUUCGUAUGCGAGUGUUCGGGUGUUAAACCCCUACGCGUAAUGAAAGUGAACGCAGGUGAGAGCUUCGGCGCAUCAUCGACCGAUCCUGAUGUUCUCGGAUGGAUUUGAGUAAGAGCAUACGGGGCCGGACCCGAAAGAAGGUGAACUAUGCCUGUAUAGGGUGAAGCCAGAGGAAACUCUGGUGGAGGCUCGCAGCGGUUCUGACGUGCAAAUCGAUCGUCAAAUAUGGGCAUGGGGGCGAAAGACUAAUCGAACCUUCUAGUAGCUGGUUUCCGCCGA
rnacentral:rRNA from 1 species